rnacentral:rRNA from 1 species
AUACGUAGGGGGCGAGCGUUGUCCGGAAUGACUGGGCGUAAAGGGCGUGUAGGCGGCGGUGUAAGACUGGAGUGAAAGUCCCGCAUUCGAUGUGGGAAUUGCUUUGGAUACUGCAGUGCUAGAGUGCGGAAGAGGUAAGUGGACUUCCCAGUGUAGCGGUGAAAUGCGUAGAGAUUGGGAGGAACACCGGUGGCGAAGGCACGUCGCUGGGCGUAAACUGACGCGCAUGGCCGAAAGCGUGGGGAGCAAACAGGAUUAGAUCCCCUGGUAGUCCCCGCCUUAAACGAUGUCGACUGGUUGUGGGGGGUUUGACACUCUCAGUAACGAAGCUAACGCGUGAAGUCGACCGCCUGGGGAGUACGGCCGCAAGGUUAAAACUCAAAUGAAUUGACGG